GGAAAAAGUCUCGAAUUGGAUCGAGAUUUUGGCUACCCCACCAUUGUUAGGCAUCCCGAGCACGUUCCCGAAGUCGGAAUCGGCAAAGGUGAGCCAGGACAGCCUUCUUCCUCCGCCCAGCCGCCUCAGUGACCACCGUCAAGUCUGCUACAGGAGGAUUUUAUUUUUGGUUAACCUGCUUUUCUCCUUCGCAGGUUGUUUAUCAAUAUUUGUGUAAUUUUAUUUACUCCUAGAAUUUCCGCAUGUGUUAGAAGUAUUUAUUUGAUUAUGGUCCAUAAUAUUAUUAUCAUG